GGAGAGGUGGCUCAGUAGUUAAGAGCACUGACCUGGGUUCAAUUCCCAGCAACCCUA
rnacentral:tRNA from 1 species